GGCGCUCCAAACACCGCGCGCGCCGCGUCCGCCAGAGGCCACUUUUCCCUCUUGCAUUUGAUUCACGGGUAACUUUGGGCCCCACACGGACCCCACCUUAGAGAGAUAUCAUGAUCUGCAGGAAAAGUCCAAUGAUUCCCUCGCAGCCACCAUUUAUUCAGCACUUGCUGCGUGCGCGGCCUGUGCCUAGCAAAACCCUGCUGAGCUCCAGGGAGGUUCGGUGAGGACUCGGCGAGCUCAGCUGAGAAACAGGUGACCACCACCCAGGCAAGAUGAAUAAUGCCAGGGUUUCCAUUGCCCCCUCUGAGCCGUGUCCCACCCCUGGAAGUCGCUACCACCUUGACUUCUAGCUGUUCCCAGAAUUUCACAUCAUUGAAACCACAUGAACAAGAGCACGGCUCUGGCGUCCAAGGCUCAGCUCUGCUGUGUGAACUGAGGACUCGCCUGCCUCUCGGGCCACAGCUCGGGGCAGUUAUUGAGGUGACCCAUGAGAAGCACCGUCAGUGCCCUCACGUGCCUCUGCCCUGCAAUCCCUGAAACCUCAGCUGCGCCGGCCACUGUGCCACCCAGGCUGCCCCCAGGGCAUGGCCCGGCCUCCAGCUCCCCACUGUGCCUCGGCUCCCCCACCACGCCUCCUCCUGCAGGGUUUGCUGCAGCCUUGGAGCCGUCGCGCCAUCCUGCUGAGCCCCCGUUUCCUCGUUUCCUCAUCUGGAACAGCAGGAAUGGCCCCAGCUGUGUGGGCUUCUUUUCUUAACCAAACAGGCUUCUCUCGUCCUCUGGCUUUAAUAAGGUGUGAUUUACAUGCGAUGAAGUCCCCCCAGUCAAUGUAACCCCGCCUUAGUGGCGGCCGGCCUGUGUGUGUCACGGCAGUGUGCCUUUGCCAGGGAAUCAGAUGGAGGUCACCUUUUAGCCUGGCUUCUUGGACUUGGCCUCAUGCACUGGACACUAGCCCACGUUGUUGCCUGUGCCUGUAGUUCGUUCCCUUUUCACGGCUGAGUGGUAUUCCAUUGGCCAGUGUUCCAUAACUGGUUUUUCCGUCCUCAAAAUUCAUGGACUUUUGAGUUCUUUGUUUUACUUAGAAUAAAUCUAUACAUAUUUGCAUACA